rnacentral:misc_RNA from 1 species
GAUGAAGAACGUAGCGAAAUGCGAUAAGUAAUGUGAAUUGCAGAAUUCAGUGAAUCAUCGAAUCUUUGAACGCACAUUGCGCCCGCCAGCACUCUGGCGGGCAUGCCUGUUCGAGCGUCAUUUCAACCAUCAAGCCCCCAGGGGCUUGUGCUGGGGCCCUGCGGCUGCCCGCAGGCCCUGAAAGCCAGUGGCGGGCUCGCUAGUCACACCGAGCGCAGUAGCACAUCUCGCUCAGGGCGUGCGGCGGGCUCCUGCCGUGAAACCCCCCACUGUAACCCCAAAGGUUGACCUCGGAUCAGGUAGGAAUACCCGCUGAACUUAAGCAUAUCAAUAAGCGGAGGA